rnacentral:rRNA from 1 species
GAUGAACGCUGGCGGCGUGCCUAAUACAUGCAAGUCGAGCGAAUGGAUUAAGAGCUUGCUCUUAUGAAGUUAGCGGCGGACGGGUGAGUAACACGUGGGUAACCUGCCCAUAAGACUGGGAUAACUCCGGGAAACCGGGGCUAAUACCGGAUAACAUUUUGAACCGCAUGGUUCGAAAUUGAAAGGCGGCUUCGGCUGUCACUUAUGGAUGGACCCGCGUCGCGUUAGCUAGUUUGUGAGGUAACGGCUCACCAAGGCCACGAUGCGUAGCCGAUCUGAGAGGGUGAUCGGCCACACUGGGACUGAGACACGGCCCAGACUCCUACUAGAGGCAGCAGUAGGGAAUCUUCCGCAAUGGACGAAAGUCUGACGGAGCAACGCCGCGUGAGUGAUGAAGGCUUUCGGGUCGUAAAACUCUGUUGUUAGGGAAGAACAAGUGCUAGUUGAAUAAGCUGGCACCUUGACGGUACCUAACCAGAAAGCCACGGCUAACUACGUGCCAGCAGCCGCAGUAA